CCCUGUCCCAAAAAACCAACAAAACAAAACAAAAACAGAAAAGUAAACUGUAGGAAAGUUAUAAAAUAGUUUAUGUCAAUCUAAGAAGAUUGCAGCUAAAAUAGCUCUAAUUUUAUCUCCUUGAUUUUAGUAAACUUCUAAGGACCUAGGAAAUACUGUGGACUAGAUGAUAAAAGGUGGCCCGGGAUCUAAUCUAGUCUAACACCACACAGACACGGCUGCUUCCUUCCUGUGCGUUUAGAUGAAUUUCAGGUCUUGCUAAGUGGCUGAAGCUUGGCUCAAACCUGUGAGUCUCUGGAUUCUGUCACCACCCUCCUCUGGCCCCGCUGCAUGUGCUUGUGUAUGUGCUUACAGUAAAGACAGCCACGGGAAGCCUCCUCUGGGAUCCCCUCAUUUUGUCAUUAUCGGACCACAGAACCGCUACACUGGCUUCAUCAGAACUCACUGAAGACCCUGAUUCCCUCUGUCGGAAGACUGAGAUUAGAAUGGCUCUUCAGUGAUUAGACUGUCCUGCUAACAACAGUCCUUUCAAAUUUCUGCAAACUCACUCUCAUUGUGGAAGAUAAUUAAAAUGUUGGGGAAAAAAUACCUCAAAAAUACCAACAGGCCAAAUGUCAUGACAUAUGCCUUUAUCCCAGCACCGUGACGCAGGAAGAGCCAAGUUCGAGGCUAGCCAGUCUGCAUUAUCAAGACCCUCUCUCAAAAAAGUAAAAGUAGAUAAAAGUUCAACAAUUAUUCAUAGGUAAUAAGACUAUAAGUAAAUUUUAAAAAAUAGUUUACCUGUAUCUUUGUUUUCUAAUUUCUCCACAGUGACCAUACCUAACUUUUAUAUUCAAAAAGCCUAAUUUUUAGAGAUAACAUUUUCUAUAAUUUUGGUGUCAUUUCUUUUCUAUUUUUUU